GAUGAACGCUGGCGGCGUGCCUAAUACAUGCAAGUCGAGCGAACAGACGAGGAGCUUGCUCCUCUGACGUUAGCGGCGGACGGGUGAGUAACACGUGGAUAACCUACCUAUAAGACUGGGAUAACUUCGGGAAACCGGAGCUAAUACCGGAUAAUAUAUUGAACCGCAUGGUUCAAUAGUGAAAGACGGUUUUGCUGUCACUUAUAGAUGGAUCCGCGCCGCAUUAGCUAGUUGGUAAGGUAACGGCUUACCAAGGCAACGAUGCGUAGCCGACCUGAGAGGGUGAUCGGCCACACUGGAACGGAGACACGGUCCAGACGCCUACGGGAGGCAGCAGUAGGGAAUCUUCCGCAAUGGGCGAAAGCCUGACGGAGCAACGCCGCGUGAGUGAUGAAGGUCUUCGGAUCGUAAAACUCUGUUAUUAGGGAAGAACAAAUGUGGAAGUAACUAUGCACGUCUUGACGGUACCUAAUCAGAAAGCCACGGCUAACUACGUG
rnacentral:rRNA from 1 species